AUGGCCGGGCACAGAGGAGGGCUGCCCCUGCCCCUGCUGCUGCUGCUGAGCCUCGCCGUGCCCGAGCUGGCGCUGGGCUGCAGCAGCUCAGGGAGGAGGUGGCUGCUUGACCUGAAUGCUACAACGAUCUCAGCUCUCUCUGCCUCCCUGAAAUCCACAGAGACCACGGCGCUGCCGCCCACCACCGCCUCCACCGGCACAGCCUCCAGCCCUGAAAAAGGAUCCUCCACUCCCGAGACACCCAGCACACCCCCGGGGAGCAGCCGUCCCUCUCCUCCCACCACAGCCCCACACACGGGUACAUCAGCCGAGCCCCCGACAUCCCCUCUGGACACCACAGCCCCGCACCCCACCAGCUCUGGGGUGCCCGGGAGCACCCCAAAUCCCAGCCAGACACUGGGGACCACAAACGGGACCAGCCCUGGUGCCUCCACCCUGACCACGGGGACAUCCCCGGACACCCAGGCGUCACCCCCCAGCCCCGGUGCCACCACGGGCACCUCCCCUGCCACCAACUCAACCCAGAGCCCAAACAACAUCUCCAGCACCUCCACGGCCCAGCCGACGGCAGAGCCCACCUGCCCCGGCAUCAUGAGCCCAGGCGCGGAGUCCCACAUCUUCCUGUCCGUGCGCCUGGCCGGCCCCCUGGACCCUGGGAACAAAACCAUGCAGGACCUGAUCCUGUCCGAGCUCCGCCACAGGCUGCAGGUCAAGUUCCCGCAGGCUGACUUCACCAUGCGGUGGAGUGGGAAGAAACCCUGAGCGCUGCCCCACGCUGCAGCCCCCCAGCCGCCCGUGGCACCGAGGAAGACGAGGAAGGAGCCCCUGCAGCCCGUUGUCAGCCCCCGUGUACUCCGAAAUAAGCAGAUUUCAGGACCUGGCCGGCUGCGGGGGCACAGCCGGGGGGUCCCACGUCACUGCUCUGCUCCCCCCCCGGCUGCGUGCGCCGGGGGGCUGUGGAAAUCCCGUGGGUUGAAAUCCUGCCCUGUUUUUUUUUUCUUUUUUUUUUUUUUUUUCCCCAGUCUCUGGUUAAGGAGACGGCCGCGGCGUCGAUCCCCCUGCA
rnacentral:lncRNA from 1 species